CUCAAAUGAAUUGACGGGGGCCCGCACAAGCGGUGGAGCAUGUGGUUUAAUUCGACGCAACGCGAAGAACCUUACCUGGCCUUGACAUGCUGAGAACUUUCCAGAGAUGGAUUGGUGCCUUCGGGAACUCAGACACAGGUGCUGCAUGGCCGUCGUCAGCUCGUGUCGUGAGAUGUUGGGUUAAGUCCCGUAACGAGCGCAACCCCUAUCCCUAGUUGCUAGCAGUUCGGCUGAGAACUCUAGGGAGACUGCCGGUGACAAACCGGAGGAAGGUGGGGAUGACGUCAGGUCAUCAUGGCCCUUACGGCCAGGGCUACACACGUGCUACAAUGGUGCGUACAGAGGGUUGCAAACCCGCGAGGGGGAGCCAAUCUCACAAAACGCAUCGUAGUCCGGAUCGGAGUCUGCAACUCGACUCCGUGAAGUCGGAAUCGCUAGUAAUCGUGAAUCAGAAUGUCACGGUGAAUACGUUCCCGGGCCUUGUACACACCGCCCGUCAC
rnacentral:rRNA from 1 species